rnacentral:lncRNA from 1 species
UGCUGCAUCUUCUGAGGCAGAUCGUGGCAAAGGCGUUGCGAGCUAGAGCCCUACCCGACGAGUCACCGAGCUAGAGGAUUACCCGCUUCAGGUAGUGUGGUUUUUGAGUUCAUAUACAUACCUUUGCUAUAUCUCGCUGGGCGAGUUUUUGUAUACUGGAUAUUGUAUGUAUAGUGAACUGUCUUUUUCUACCUGGAUAUCUUUGUCUUCUUGCACUCUAUACUACUGGUCAUAGUAUUGUAUAUUUUACAGGUACAGCUAUCGCUUUGUAUAUAGGAGAAAUUUCUUUGUAUACAGCGGAUUUGUCGGCGGACCCGGGAAACGUGAAAUCCGGGGCGUGACAUGAAUUUUCAUUGUUUGUUGCCACAUAGCAAGUUUUUCUUCACCCUCACUAGCAUGCGAUACUUCUUUUUUCCCUCACUAAACUUUCAAUGUAUAUUUUAAUAGUUCCACUAACAAAACUUUCAAUUAAUGUAUUUAAAUGGUUUCACUAACAAAACUUUCAAUUAAUAUAUUUAAAUAGUCUCACUAUCAUCUACCAUUCUAUCAUUUCUAUCUACAAUUAUUCAUUAUAACACUUUCCAUUCCCUCCACUAUACUUUCAAUUAAUGCAAACGAUUCCACUACCAAACUUUCAAUUAGUAUGCUUAAGUGAUCUCACUAUCUUCUUACAUUCCUAAUCUCUUUAUCACCAAUUAUUCAUUAUGGCCAUUUUCCUUCCUUCCACGAGACUUUUAAUUUUUUAUCUCCAAUCUAUUCAUCAAUUCUCUAGCUUUUAUCUUUUACUAUACACCAUCACCUCCUUUCCUCACUCCCUCCCUCUCUCUCACUAAUGCGUGCCCAUUUUCCCUUUCCGGCAUGACGUUUCGUGGAUAUAUCAAGUGAGAUACACAAGAGAAUGUUUAAUAUUUUUUUAUUAUUAAUUAUUACUAUAAUUUCUAUCUGCUGCAAAACACGGGCCCUUCACUAGUUUAGCUAUAAAAUGAUAAUCCUUCUGGAUCCGACUACUUUACCUUUAAAAAUUUUGAUUUUACCAUAUGACCUUUUAAUUUAUUUAAUUUAAGCUAAUUAAUGAUCUUUUAAUUUUUUAAAUUUAAAUACAUCAUUUAUCAUUACGUGUUUAAUUAGUAUAUUUUGUCUUAAAUUUCAUAUAUCCGAAAAGCAAUCAAAGUAUUUAAAUU